rnacentral:rRNA from 1 species
GACGAACGCUGGCGGCGUGGAUUAGGCAUGCAAGUCGAACGGUAUCAUCCUUUCGGGGGUGAGAGAGUGGCGAACUGGUGAGUAACACGUAGGUUAUCUACCCUCAAGACGGGGACAACCCAGGGAAACUUGGGCUAAUACCGGAUGUGAGCAACUUUUAGUUGUUUGAAAGGUGGCGUAAGCUGUCGCUUGGGGAUGAGCCUGCGUCCUAUUAGUUAGUUGGUGAGGUAACGGCUCACCUAGGCAAUGAUAGGUAGGCGGCCUUAACGGGUGGUCGCCCACACUGGGAUUGAGAUACGGCCCAGACUCCUACGGGAGGCAGCAGUCGAGAAUAGUCUACAAUGGUCGGAAGACUGAUAGUGCGACGCCGCGUGAACGAUGAAUCCCUUCGGGGUGUAAAGUUCUUUUAUAUGUGAGCAGUGCUUCUUAUAUUAACAGUAUGGGGAGAGAGAUAUUAGCAUAUGAAUAAGCAACGGCUAACUCCGUGCCAGCAGCGGACGGU